UACGUAGGGUGCGAGCGUUAAUCGGAAUUACUGGGCGUAAAGCGUGCGCAGGCGGUUUUGUAAGCCAGAUGUGAAAUCCCCGGGCUUAACCUGGGAAUGGCAUUUGGGACUGCAAGGCUCGAGUGCGGCAGAGGAGACUGGAAUUCCUGGUGUAGCAGUGAAAUGCGUAGAUAUCAGGAGGAACACCGAUGGCGAAGGCAGGUCUCUGGGCUGACACUGACGCUCAUGCACGAAAGCGUGGGGAGCAAAUGGG
rnacentral:rRNA from 1 species